rnacentral:rRNA from 1 species
AGAACGAACGCUGGCGGCAUGCCUAACACACGCAAGUCGAACGAUCUCUUCGGAGAUAGUGGCGCACGGGUGCGUAACGCGUGGGAAUCUGCCCUUGGGUUCGGAAUAACAGUUGGAAACGACUGCUAAUACCGGAUGAUGACGUUAAGUCCAAAGAUUUAUCGCCCAGGGAUGAGCCCGCGUAGGAUUAGCUAGUUGGUGAGGUAAAGGCUCACCAAGGCGACGAUCCUUAGCUGGUCUGAGAGGAUGAUCAGCCACACUGGGACUGAGACACGGCCCAGACUCCUACGGGAGGCAGCAGUGGGGAAUAUUGGACAAUGGGCGAAAGCCUGAUCCAGCAAUGCCGCAUGAGUGAUGAAGGCCUUAGGGUGUAAAGCUCUUUUACCCGGAUGAUAAUGACAGUACCGGAGAAUAAGCUCCGGCUAACUCCGUGCCAGCAGCCGC